UUCUUCUGAAUUAUUGUUCAUUUGGUCAAUUGGGUCAGUAUUGUUUUGGUGAAUUUUGGUUUGAAUUUGUGAUUUGGUUUUUCAGGGCAGGGGUUUGAAUUCAAUUCCUCGGGAAAUGGGGGUUAUGUCUAGGCAGGUUUUGCCCAUUUGUGGUAAAGUCUGUUUCUUCUAUCCUUCCCUGCGGCCAAGGUCGAGACAGCCUGUGAAGCGGUACAAAAAUCUUCUUGCUAAUAUCUUCCCUCGGUCUCAGGUCAGUUGACGUGACUUUUUGCGAUUCUUGUGCUUCUGUAUGUUGAGGAUGAUUACUUCAAAGUAUUCUAUCAGGUACAUUGUUAUUGAGUACUUAACAAAAAGAGAAAAAAAGGAAAAAAGUACCUCGUGUUUGACAUUGAUCUGGUUGAUUUAUAUGCUCCGGGGAUUCAAAUGUGUUCUGAAAAUGGAGGGAAAAUUUAGAGAGAUGUUGAUUGGGACAAUCUGCUUUUGAGGGUAAAAAAUGAAAAGGGCAACAUAUCAUUACACGAGGCCUUGAUGAAUGUUCACCAAGUUGUAGCUUAUUAUUUGAUCACGUACGGUAGAUCCAGAAGUGUUAUAUUAUCUGAACAAUGACGUGAAAUCAACUCUGUUUCUAGCUGCUGAAGUAGGGUUUUUGGAACUUGUCACGCAUAUUCUAUGUGAUACGGUUGGGAUUGAAAAUACAAAUGAAAGACUUAAAGGGUAAUCACCUAUUCAUGCUGCCAUGUUAAAAAGAAACUGUAAUUCUAACACUUAUUCUUGAUUUCUCUUUGGUUUUUGCAUUUUUGUUUCUCAAUUUAUUUUAAAAUCCCAGGUGUUUUAGAUGCCUUAUUGAAAUCAGAACCAAGGUUCAUUCAAUUAAGAGAUGAAGAAGGACUCCACUUCACUUGAUUGCAUGAUUGGGCUAUCUUGAAGAGGUUCAGUACUUGUUAGGAAGACAGAGUUCAGGUGCUAUUGCAAGGGACAACAAUGGCUUACUUCCCUAUUCAUUUAGCAUCAAUUAAAGGCCAUGUUGAUGUUGUCCGGGCGUUGCUUCAGUAUUGGCCUGAUUCGAGGGAACUGCUCAACUGUCAUGGUCAAAAUAUUCUUCAUGUUGCUGCCAAGAGCAGAGGACAUAACUGUUUAGUUACAUUCUCCAAGCUCCCGAGCUCGAGAAGCUUUAUAAACAUGAGGGACAAGCAUGGAAACACACCCUUGCAUUUGGCCACCAUGGACUGGCAUCCAAAGAUUGUAUGCACACAUAGAGGAAGUGCAAUGCACAUUUGUUUUAUGUGCACAUAGGAAAACUGUAAUAUCAGUGAAAUUCAAUGCGACAAGUGUAAGGGAAAGGCACAUUGUACAAUGACAGAAAAUUUGGGACAUUUGAUAAUGCAACUCAAUUUUUCUUUUAAAUUUGACCUUGUAAACAAUUAUUAAUGAAUAUACUAGAAUCUUGAAUAAGAA